CGAGUAAGUCAGAUAGUCGCGGCAUCUUUUAUAAGAUGACGAGGAAAGUCCGAGCUCCGCAGGGCAGGGUGCUGGGUAGCUCCCAGUAGAGGUGACUCUAAGGAAAGUGCAACAGAGAUAUACCGCUCAAUAACUAAAGGCUGUCUUUUAGAGAUUGCUUUGAUGUUGAGUAAGGGUGGAAAGGUGAGGUAAGAGCUCACCAGCGGUCAGGUGACUGGCUGGCUAUGUAAACCCCAUCCGGAGCAAGACCAAGUAGGGAUAAGGUAGCGAUUGCCCGUCGUGUCCCGUGGUAGGUUGCUUGAGCCUAUUGGUAACAAUAGGUCUAGAUAGAUGACUAUCGAAUACAGAACUCGGCUUAUAGAUUUAACUCGCUCC
rnacentral:RNase_P_RNA from 1 species